rnacentral:tRNA from 1 species
ACGGAUAUAGAUUUAAAGGUAAAUCAUCUAUCUUCCAAGUAGAAAUUAUGGGUUCAAAUCCCAUUAUCCGUA